UUCGGUUCGUUUGGAGACGAGGUGGCUGAAGAUGAGCACGGAGACAGCACGGAGUGCUCGAGCUCAUUUGGCGAUUCUGGCUUUGCUUCUGAUGAUGACACGGAAUCAGAUGCAGGCAUCAUGGAAGUGGAGUCACCCCUUUAUUCUCAGAUCAAUGGACAUGAUACCCCUGCCAUGUCACAUAUUGUCAGAAAGAAAAAAGUGACAUCCGAUUGGAGGAAGUUUAUUGGCCCAGAAAGGUGGCGGUGUCAAUGGUUGGAGCUGCGUAUGAAUGAUCUUUUGUCGCAAGUAGCAAAAUAUGAUAAGGAACUUGCUUUAAUCAAUCAUGAAAAGUAUCUGCAGUUGGAGAUGAUUAAAGCAGAUAGAUGUAAAUCAGAAUUACAGAAAUUAGACCUUCCCAGCUAUGAAACUAUGAAGAGGAGGAAAAGAAAAAGAUAUGAAGAUAGUACAGACACAUCGGCAUACAUCAGGAAGCAUCAAAUAUUUUCCUAUUACAAUCUUG